rnacentral:rRNA from 1 species
CCCUUAGACGUUCUGGGCCGCACGCGCGCUACACUGUUCGACGCAGCGAGUCUUAACCUUGACCGAAAGGUUUGGGUAAUCUUCAGCAAAGUCGAACGUGAUGGGGAUCGAUCAUUGCAAUUAUUGAUCGUGAACGAGGAAUUCCUAGUAAGUGCAAGUCAUCAGCUUGCGCUGAUUACGUCCCUGCCCUUUGUACACACCGCCCGUCGCUACUACCGAUUGAAUGGUUUAGUGAGAUCUCUGGAUUGACGCUGGCUAGGGGGCGACCCUUGGCCAGACUGCUCGAGAAACUGCUCAAACUUGAUCAUUUAGAGGAAGUAAAAGUCGUAACA